rnacentral:miRNA from 1 species
CGACCGCUAUCGGCACUGCAAUU